AAACACCAUGUUGUCAGCCUUUCACAUUUCCAUUCCAUUUCCCACAUUUUCUCCCACCCUCAGCCUUCUCAGUGGUAAGUAUGAACUUUUUUGUUCACAUAUGACGUCGACACAAUUACCAUUGCUUUGAUGGGGGCCACUAAACACGGAACAAUUAUCUCCCCUUUCCGUGGUAAAGAAAGAAAAGUGAAGUCGUGCAAGUGCCUCUGAUAACUCUGCCAGGAGCCUGUGGUCCUUUCCUGUGUGAUCUGCUCCUGGGGCCACUGCACAACAGUGCUGUGUCUAUGACUACCAAGAAAUGAAGGGCUUUGAGACACUGAUGCCGGCACAUUAGUGAUGCAGAGAGGACUGCAGUGACCACUCCUCUCCAGUGUGAAGCAGCAUCUCCUUGUGUCAUAUCAGUCCAGCUCCAAAAGGCUCUUUGUGGAUGAGAUCGAAUUAAGAUGCCCUCAUCCCAGAUGGAGUAUAAUGACGUCAUCCCUGGAUGGGGUGUGAUGAUGUCAUCCCGGAUGGAGUAUGCCGAUGUCCUUAAGAGAAGUGAGAAGCAGCCA